rnacentral:rRNA from 1 species
UACAGAGGUGGCAAGCGUUGUUCGGAAUUACUGGGCGUAAAGGGCGCGUAGGCGGCCUUCUAAGUCAGACGUGAAAUCCCCCGGCUUAACCUGGGAACUGCGUCUGAUACUGGAGGGCUUGAGUAUGGGAGAGGGAUGUAGAAUUCCAGGUGUAGCGGUGAAAUGCGUAGAUAUCUGGAGGAAUACCGGUGGCGAAGGCGGCAUCCUGGACCAUAACUGACGCUGAGGCGCGAAAGCUAGGGGAGCAAACGGG